GAUGAACGCUGGCGGCGUGCCUAAUACAUGCAAGUCGAGCGAACAGAUGAGGAGCUUGCUCCUCUGACGUUAGCGGCGGACGGGUGAGUAACACGUGGAUAACCUACCUAUAAGACUGGGAUAACUUCGGGAAACCGGAGCUAAUACCGGAUAAUAUAUUGAACCGCAUGGUUCAAUAGUGAAAGACGGUUUUGCUGUCACUUAUAGAUGGAUCCGCGCCGCAUUAGCUAGUUGGUAAGGUAACGGCUUACCAAGGCAACGAUGCGUAGCCGACCUGAGAGGGUGAUCGGCCACACUGGAACUGAGACACGGUCCAGACUCCUACGGGAGGCAGUAGUAGGGAAUCUUCCGCAAUGGGCGAAAGCCUGACGGAGCAACGCCGCGUGAGUGAUGAAGGUCUUCGGAUCGUAAAACUCUGUUAUUGGGGAAGAACAAAUGUGUAAGUAACUAUGCACGUCUUGACGGUACCUAAUCAGAAAGCCACGGCUAACUACGUG
rnacentral:rRNA from 1 species